GAGUUUGAUCCUGGCUCAGGAUGAACGCUGGCGGCGUGCUUAACACAUGCAAGUCGAGCGGAGGUUUAAAGCGGAAGUUUUCGGAUGGAAGCAAUAAACCUUAGCGGCGGACGGGUGAGUAACGCGUGGGUAACCUGCCUCAUACAGGGGGAUAACAGUUAGAAAUGACUGCUAAAACCGCAUAAGCGCACAUUGUCGAGUGACAGAGUGUGAAAAACUCCGGUGGUAUGAGAUGGACCCGCGUCUGAUUAGCUAGUUGGUGAGGUAACGGCCCACCAAGGCGACGAUCAGUAGCCGGCCUGAGAGGGCGACCGGCCACAUUGGGACUGAGACACGGCCCAAACUCCUACGGGAGGCAGCAGUGGGGAAUAUUGCACAAUGGGGGAAACCCUGAUGCAGCGACGCCGCGUGAGUGAAGAAGUAUUUCGGUAUGUAAAGCUCUAUCAGCAGGGAAGAAGAAAGACGGUACCUGACUAAGAAGCCCCGGCUAACUACGUGCCAGCAGCCGCGGUAAUACGUAGGGGGCAAGCGUUAUC
rnacentral:rRNA from 1 species